rnacentral:rRNA from 1 species
UACGAAGGGGACUAGCGUUGUUCGGAAUUACUGGGCGUAAAGCGCACGUAGGCGGAUUGCUAAGUCAGGGGUGAAAUCCCGGGGCUCAACCUCGGAACUGCCUUCGAUACUGACAAUCUCGAGUCCGAUAGAGGUGGGUGGAAUUCCUAGUGUAGAGGUGAAAUUCGUAGAUAUUAGGAAGAACACCGGUGGCGAAGGCGGCCCACUGGAUCGGUACUGACGCUGAGGUGCGAAAGCGUGGGGAGCAAACAGG